AUUAUUUUAAAAUAAAAAUUGAUGUGUUGCUUAUUUAAAAAAUUAGUUAUUUAGUUAUUGCUGUUUGUAGAUCAUGUUAGCAUGUCACAGCUUUCUUAAACUAACAUACGCAGAUAGGCCCAAAGCGCGCCAACCAUUGAAGUCAUCGCCAUUCCUUCCUCCUCCUGCUUCUUCUUCUUCUUCUUCUUCCCUUACGGCUUUAUCAAACCAAACCUCUCAUCAUGCUCUUCCUGUCUACGAAACGACAACAGCUCUAAUCAAAUCAGCAAAUAACCUAAUAAAAACAACACAGCAACACCAAAAUUAAAAAAAAUGUCAUUUAUCUUCUCACCU
rnacentral:lncRNA from 1 species